GCCAGGUGCAGAGCUUAGCUGAUUGGUGAACAGUGAUUGAGCUCUUUGUUCACAGUGGCUAAGUUCUGCACUUGAU
rnacentral:pre_miRNA from 1 species